rnacentral:rRNA from 1 species
UACGUAGGGUGCGAGCGUUGUCCGGAAUUAUUGGGCGUAAAGGGCUCGUAGGCGGUUUGUCGCGUCGGGAGUGAAAUCCACUGGCUUAACUGGUGGCUUGCUUUCGAUACGGGCAGACUGGAGGUAUGCAGGGGAGAACGGAAUUCCUGGUGUAGCGGUGAAAUGCGCAGAUAUCGGAAGGAACACCAGUGGCGAAAGCGGCUCCCUGGUCCAGCACCGACGUCAGGCACGAAAGCGUGGGGAGCAAACAGGG